GAAUUCACUAGUGAUUCAGGCCUAACACAUGCAAGUCGAGCGGGGUUUUCGGACCUAGCGACGGACGGGUGAGUAAUGCGUAGGAAGCUGCCCGAUAGAGGGGGAUACCAGUUGGAAACGACUGUUAAUACCGCAUAAUGUCUACGGACCAAAGUGUGGGACCUUCGGGCCACAUGCUAUCGGAUGCGCCUACGUGGGAUUAGCUAGUUGGUGAGGUAAUGGCUCACCAAGGCGACGAUCUCUAGCUGGUUUGAGAGGAUGAUCAGCCACACUGGAACUGAGACACGGUCCAGACUCCUACGGGAGGCAGCAGUGGGGAAUAUUGGACAAUGGGCGCAAGCCUGAUCCU
rnacentral:rRNA from 1 species